rnacentral:hammerhead_ribozyme from 1 species
GCACUGCUGAAGAGUCUCACAAUAUGGCGAAACGGUCGUCCAGUGC